ACCUUGACAUGGCAGGAAUCCCGAAGAGAUUUGGGAGUGCUCGAAAGAGAACCUGCACACAGGUGCUGCAUGGCUGUCGUCAGCUCGUGUCGUGAGAUGUUGGGUUAAGUCCCGCAACGAGCGCAACCCUUGCCAUUAGUUGCUACGAAAGGGCACUCUAAUGGGACUGCCGGUGACAAACCGGAGGAAGGUGGGGAUGACGUCAAGUCCUCAUGGCCCUUAUAGGUGGGGCUACACACGUCAUACAAUGGCCGGUACAGAGGGUAGCCAACCCGCGAGGGGGAGCCAAUCCCACAAAGCCGGUCGUAGUCCGGAUCGCAGUCUGCAACUCGACUGCGUGAAGUCGGAAUCGCUAGUAAUCGCGGAUCAGCAUGUCGCGGUGAAUACGUUCCCGGGUCUU
rnacentral:rRNA from 1 species